rnacentral:rRNA from 1 species
UAGGGAAUCUUCGGCAAUGGACGAAAGUCUGACCGAGCAACGCCGCGCGAGUGAAGAAGGUUUUCGGAUCGUAAAACUCUGUUGUUAGAGAAGAACAAGGACGUUAGUAACUGAACGUCCCCUGACGGUAUCUAACCAGAAAGCCACGGCUAACUACGUGCCAGCAGCCGCGGUAAUACGUAGGUGGCAAGCGUUGUCCGGAUUUAUUGGGCGUAAAGCGAGCGCAGGCGGUUUCUUAAGUCUGAUGUGAAAGCCCCCGGCUCAACCGGGGAGGGUCAUUGGAAACUGGGAGACUUGAGUGCAGAAGAGGAGAGUGGAAUUCCAUGUGUAGCGGUGAAAUGCGUAGAUAUAUAGAGGAACACCAGUGGCGAAGGCGGCUCUCUGGUCUGUAACUGACGCUGAGGCUCGAAAGCGUGGGGAGCAAACAGG